rnacentral:rRNA from 1 species
AGUGAACGCUGGCGGUAGACCUAACACAUGCAAGUCGAACGGCAGCACAGUAAGAGCUUGCUCUUACGGGUGGCGAGUGGCGGACGGGUGAGGAAUACAUCGGAAUCUACUUUUUCGUGGGGGAUAACGUAGGGAAACUUACGCUAAUACCGCAUACGACCUACGGGUGAAAGCAGGGGAUCUUCGGACCUUGCGCGAUUGAAUGAGCCGAUGUCGGAUUAGCUAGUUGGCGGGGUAAAGGCCCACCAAGGCGACGAUCCGUAGCUGGUCUGAGAGGAUGAUCAGCCACACUGGAACUGAGACACGGUCCAGACUCCUACGGGAGGCAGCAGUGGGGAAUAUCGGACAAUGGGCGCAAGCCUGAUCCAGCCAUACCGCGUGGGUGAAGAAGGCCUUCGGGUUGUAAAGCCCUUUUGUUGGGAAAGAAAAGCAGCAGGUUAAUACCCCGCUGUUCUGACGGUACCCAAAGAAUAAGCACCGGCUAACUUCGUG